rnacentral:siRNA from 1 species
AAAGGAAUUCAGAUGGAAGUAUU